GAAAUUUCCUGAUAUCCAGACUGCCCUUGCCAGUUUCAUCAGCUGACUCCAGUGACUCUGCUCAGUAGCCACUCCACGUUUCUAAAGAAAAAACAAAAGUUAGGAUCUAUCAAGCUGGGUUCUGCCCUGGGAUCUGACUCAACUGGUCGUUACAUCAGCUGGCAUCAUAACACUUUUCUGCUCGCCAAUCCUCAAAAGACUCCAACAGCUCUUCUUAUAGCACUGACUUUCAGCUGGCAGGUGGUGUCUUUCACUUCUUUGAUCUUCAUCUUGAACAUGGCAAUAACAUCAGAACACUUAUCUCCUCAGCAGCUCCAAUGAGGUGCUGCUGGAAAAAAAGAUCAAAAUGCUUCACUACUCUCGGAUUCCCAGCAAAGAUACUAUGCGACAGUGAGGAUGUGGAAUGUGCCUGGCUGAUGAACAUUUAAGUGACUCCUUACACAUUUCUAACUCCCACAAUGUGCAAGUCUGAGUCUGGGAGAAUAGCACUGGAUCCAGAUUGAAGCAGUGUUGAACAUUUUAAGAGAAGAAUAACCCUGCAUCAAAAGGGGCAUAGCAGUCAGACUUGGAAAGCAUCCAGGAGUUGUGGCCUAACCAUUGUCUUCUACAGAUUAAGUACUUCCUUUCAAUUGUAGUCCAAUAUAUUUGGAUUAAAAGCCCAAAAAUUUU